rnacentral:rRNA from 1 species
UGGGGAAUAUUGGACAAUGGGCGCAAGCCUGAUCCAGCCAUGCCGCGUGGAUGAAGAAGGCCCUAGGGUUGUAAAAUCCUUUCGCUAGGGAAGAUAAUGACGGUACCUAGACAAGAAGCCCCGGCUAAUUUCGUGCCAGCAGCCGCGGUAAUACGAAAGGGGCUAGCGUUGUUCGGAAUUACUGGGCGUAAAGCGCACGUAGGCGGCUUUGUAAGUUGGGGGUGAAAUCCCGGGGCUCAACCCCGGAACUGCCUUCAAAACUACAUGGCUAGAGAAUGCGAGAGGUGAGCGGAAUUCCGAGUGUAGAGGUGAAAUUCGUAGAUAUUCGGAAGAACACCAGUGGCGAAGGCGGCUCACUGGCGCAUUACUGACGCUGAGGUGCGAAAGCGUGGGGAGCAAACAGGAUUAGAUACCCCCGUAGUCC